ACGCUCGACACCUACGGGAGGCAGCAGUGGGGAAUAUUGCACAAUGGGGGAAACCCGUGAUGCAGCGACGCCGCGUGAGCGAAGAAGUAUUUCGGUAUGUAAAGCUCUAUCAGCAGGGAAGAAAGUGACGGUACCUGACUAAGAAGCCCCGGCUAACUACGUGCUAGCAGCCGCGGUAAUCUGAGCGGGCUGGCAAGGC
rnacentral:rRNA from 1 species